rnacentral:rRNA from 1 species
AUGAUUGGCCUCUUUUGGAACUGUAGGGGGGCAGGUAAGAAAGGCAUGUCUACCUGCCUCACUGACAUGAUUAAUGCCAAUGAGGUGGAUUUCCUUGGGUUGCAAGAAACUAUGAAGAGUAACUAUACUCCUUCCUUCUUUAGAAAAUUGGACCCACACCAAAAAUUUAUUUGGGAGUGGAUUCCAUCUAGGGGAAAUCUGGAGGUAUCCUAUGUGGGAUCAAUAAAGAUAAGUUUGAUAUCUUUGAGGUGA